CCCGGGCUUCUGGCAUCCCUUUUCUUUCAAACAGACCUAAAAUGUUGGACUUCUGACUUCCUCUUCUCCUUAUGCAGUCAGCCUCUGAGUUUUAGGGACUCAGUUACGAUAACGUUGAAAGGUUGGAGACCUGACGUGACUUUGGAGCGUGAAGCAAGCUCUUGUUGAGACUUCGCAGAGUCAAGGCCUGCUCCCUGGGACCCGCAGCCCGGCCCGUCCGCCCGGCUGACCUCAGUAACCAGUCCCAGGCACAAGUCCCGGGGCUGCCCCCCAGGGCCACAGGUGACAUGGGGUCUCGCCUCCGAGAAGGCCACAGGAAGAGCUGAGAAGGCCUUUUCUGGAGAAAUGGAGAAGAGCGCAAGGAGCCAGUCAGGACUUGAGGGAAAAGAAGAAUAGAAGAUGUCUAGAAGAGCAGGAAACGGGGUGGAGGCCUGGUGACGGGAAGGAGCAGUCGAGGAGGCGUGGGCUCAGCCUGGCCCGUGCGUGGAAGGACCUCGGCGUGGGCGGGAGACGUUAAGGGGACCGGGGGGGCUGAGGAGUCAGGAGCCAUCGCCGGACCACAGUCAUUCCAGUUUCUGCUGGAAUAUAAAUGACUUUCCCAUGGAUCCACCGCCCAAAGCCACCUGCAGUAUCUUUGUUUACUGGCUUCGUAUCUUUUCCUUUAUCCUGAGGGAAGAAGCCGCUUCUGACUGUCCCAGAGAGGAACCCUGAGAGAAGAAAGACUGUGUGGUUG